UGCCCAAUGCGGGAAUCGAACCCGGGUCCUAGUGGUCGAAAACCAAACGGUUUACCUUCCAUCAAAAAGGC